AACCUUAUGGACCUGCGGGCGUAUACCUGCGGAAGGAUCAUUAUAGAGUUUUCUAAACUCCCAAACCCAUGUGAACUUACCAUUGUUGCCUCGGCAGAACCUACCCGGUACCUACCCUGGAACGAGCUACCCUGUAGCUACCCAGGAACGGGCUACCCUGUAACGUCCUGCCGGUGGACUUCUAAACUCUUGUUAUUUAUAGUAAUCUGAGCGUCUUAUUUUAAUAAGUCAAAACUUUCA
rnacentral:misc_RNA from 1 species